rnacentral:rRNA from 1 species
GACGUAGGGGGCGAGCGUUGUCCGGAUUUAUUGGGCGUAAAGAGCGCGUAGGCGGCCCGGAAAGUCGGAUGUGAAAACCCGGGGCUCAACCCCGGGCCUGCAUCCGAUACUCCCGGGCUGGAGGCAGGUAGGGGAGAUCGGAAUUCCUGGUGGUAGCGGUGGAAAAUGCGCAGAUAUCAAGGAGGAACACCGGUGGCGAAGGCGGAUCUCUGGGCCUGUCCUGACGCUGGAGGCGCGAAAGCUAGGGGAGCGAACAGG